AUUUGUUAAGACGAACCGGCCGAAGCUGUAUGGCAAGGCACAUCAUUGUUCGUCCAGAGUCGAGAAGAGGAAAGAAAAGGCCUGGGUGAAGGCCUCGGCACUAUUGAAUAGCAACGGCUUUGCACGGUCCCCGAAACAGACCAAAAAAAAGUGGAGUGACAUCAGAAUCUGUGCCAACAGAUAUGAGGGCCAGAAAAAAUUGACAGGAGGAGGGCCAAGCAUCAAAAUAAAUCCGGUAUACGAAGCGGUGCUGUCGGCCAUAGCGCCGCAAUCCAGGGAGGGCAUCUCCAGCGGGGAGGAAGCUGGCUUCGGAAGCAGUGAUGAG